AACGAACGCUGGCGGCAUGCCUAACACAUGCAAGUCGAACGAGACCUUCGGGUCUAGUUGCGCACGGGUGCGUAACGCGUGGGAACCUGCCCUUAGGUUCGGAAUACUUCUCCGAAAGGGGUGCUAAUAUCGGAUAAUUUCUUCGGACCAAAGAUUUAUCUCCUUAGGGUGGGCCCGCGUUGGUUUAGCUGGUUGGUAGUGUAAAAGCCUAUCAAGGCGUGGAUCCAUAGCUGGUCUGAGAGGCAGAUCAGCCACACUGGGGCUAGGACACGGCCGAGAAUACUAGAGGAGGGGGGAGUGGCGGAUACUGGCAUAUGGGGGGAAGGAAGAAGGAGUUAUGGCGGGUGAGCGAUGAAGGUGUUAGAGAAGUGCAGCUGUUUUACACGCGGUGAUAAUGACGGUACCGGGAGAAUAAGCACCGGCUAACUCCGUG
rnacentral:rRNA from 1 species